CUCAGGAUGAACGCUGGCGGCGUGCUUAACACAUGCAAGUCGAGCGAAGCACUUUUUUAGAACUCUUCGGAGGGAAGAGAGGGUGACUUAGCGGCGGACGGGUGAGUAACGCGUGGGCAACCUGCCUUACACAGGGGGAUAACAAUUAGAAAUGAUUGCUAAUACCGCAUAAGACCCCAGUGCCGCAUGGUACAGGGGUAAAAACUGAGGUGGUGUAAGAUGGGCCCGCGUCUGAUUAGGUAGUUGGUGGGGUAGAAGCCUACCAAGCCGACGAUCAGUAGCCGACCUGAGAGGGCGACCGGCCACAUUGGGACUGAGACACGGCCCAAACUCCUACGGGAGGCAGCAGUGGGGAAUAUUGCACAAUGGGGGAAACCCUGAUGCAGCGACGCCGCGUGAGUGAGGAAGUAUUUCGGUAUGUAAAGCUCUGUCAGCAGGGAAGAAGAAUGACNGUACCUGAAGAAGAAGCACCGGCUAAAUACGUGCCAGCAGCCGCGGUAAUACGUAUGGUGCAAGCGUUAUCCNGAUUUACU
rnacentral:rRNA from 1 species